UGAUCAUAGUUAAAAUACUACUUUUCAUAUUUAUAUAGUUUGGUAACAUAAUUUUUAGAGGUUGAGGGAGCGAUCUAUAAAAAGUUAUCCUCUUAAACUUUUAUAGAUUGAGAGAGUGUUUUAAUCGGGGUCAAUAAGAUGAUAUAAUUAUUUUUACAAAAUAAUUAAUUUAACAGUUAUUUUUUUCGAACAAUUCUGCUUUAAAUCACUUUAUAAAUAGUUAAUAUCUAGCAGCUAAUCAUUACUAAAA
rnacentral:misc_RNA from 1 species